rnacentral:rRNA from 1 species
UUUUAUUUAAGCAUGGGAUAAUGGAAUAGGACGUGCGGUUCUAUUUUGUUGGUUUCUAGGACCGCCGUAAUGAUUCAUAGGGAUAGUCGGCGGCGUCAGUAUUCAGCUGUCAGAGGUGAAAUUCUUGGAUUUGCUGAAGACUAACUACUGCGAAAGCAUUCGCCAAGGAUGUUUUCAUUAAUCAGGGAACGAAAGUUAGGGGAUCGAAGACGAUCAGAUACCGUNGUAGUCUUAACCAUAAAAUAUGCCGAAUAGGGAUNGGACGGUGCUUCUAUUAUGACCCGUUAGGCACCUUACUAGAAAUCAAAGUUUUAGGGUUCUGGGGGGAGUAUGGUCGCAAGGGUGAAACCUAAAGAAAUUGACGGAAGGGCACCACCAGGCGUGGACCGUGCGGCUUCAUUUGACUCACCACGGGGAAACUCACCAGGUCCAGACCANAUANGGAAUGAUCCCCCCAGAACUCUUUAAUGAUCUUUUGGAUGGUGGUGCAUGGCCGGGUCAAGUUGGUGGAGUGAUUCGUNCGCUUAAUUGCGAUAACGAAGGAGACCUCGGCCCUUAAAUAGCCCGGUCCGCAUCCCGGGCCGUUGGCUUCUUAGGGGGAGAAUAGGCUCAAGCCAAGGAAGUGCGCGGCAAUAACAGGUGUGUGAUGCCCUUUGAUGUUUUGGGCCGCACGCGCGCUACACUGACAGGGCCAGCGAGUACAUCAACCUUGGCUCCGAAG